AUGUUAGACUCCAAAAUCUUACGUUUGCAAAGAAAAUCAAUUGUACGUUGGAAUACUAUUACACGUAAGCUUCACGUAUAUAAAAUUAAUUCUUGACCCAACAUCAAGAUUUUAUUCCAAGAAUUGUUCCAGCAAAUUCCACCGCGAGGAAAGCUGCUUUUGCUUCUGCCGAAGAAGGAUCAAGAGGCUGCAUAAUAUGAGUUGAAGACCAACCGACACACUCCCCGGAAUGAGUUCUUGCAAUAACACCAAUGCCAACCAAUCCAUC
rnacentral:lncRNA from 1 species